UAGGGAAUCUUCGGCAAUGGGGGCAACCCUGACCGAGCAACGCCGCGUGAGUGAAGAAGGUUUUCGGAUCGUAAAGCUCUGUUGUAAGAGAAGAACGUGUGUGAGAGUGGAAAGUUCACACAGUGACGGUAACUUACCAGAAAGGGACGGCUAACUACGUGCCAGCAGCCGCGGUAAUACGUAGGUCCCGAGCGUUGUCCGGAGUUAUUGGGCGUAAGCGAGCGCAGGCGGUUUAAUAAGUCUGAAGUUAAAGGCAGUGGCUUAACCAUUGUUCGCUUUGGAAACUGUUAAACUUGAGUGCAGAAGGGGAGAGUGGAAUUCCAUGUGUAGCGGUGAAAUGCGUAGAUAUAUGGAGGAACACCGGUGGCGAAAGCGGCUCUCUGGUCUGUUACUGACGCUGAGGCUCGAAAGCGUGGGGAGCAAACAGG
rnacentral:rRNA from 1 species